rnacentral:rRNA from 1 species
AUGGGAAAAUUUUCUUGUGAUGUUUUGUGCGAUAUUAUUCCGGUACCGAUGGAUUCGUGUCAUAUGAUUUUGGGAGAGCCAUGGUAUAUGAAAAAUAAUGCUACAUAUGACAAUCUCACCAACACAUACGUUGUUGAAUGGGAUAGAAAAUAUGUUCUCAUGGCAAUGGAAAAGAAGUCCUUCAAGACUUGGAGAAAAGCACGCUUGCAGGCGAUGAAGGAACAACAACAUGCAAAGAAGGAGGCUGAAGCUUCUGAAAUUUUAUCUGCACACGUUCAUCCUCUAGACAAAGAGGUUGCUGAAAAGAUCGAUUCGAAACCGAAGUCGGUUUCACCUGAAGAAGGGAAGGAUGAUACGGCCAGUCCUAGCUCCCGUCAUAUUGAUGUUGCACUUGUUCAAGAGAUUGUUAUUGUGCAUGAAGAAAUAAUGCAUGCUCCCUGUCAUUUGCUUAACAUGGACCAAGGGGCACAUGCAUAUGCUAGUACAUGCGCGUACAAUGCCAAAGCAUUAGCUGGUUCACAUCAGGUCCAGAUCUUGUUCAGGGCUCUUGUAAAAUAA